AUCCAGACUCCUACGGGAGGCAGCAGUGGGGGAUAUUGCACAAUGGGGGGAACCCUGAUGCAGCGACGCCGCGUGGGUGAAGGAGUAUUUCGGUACGUAAAGCCCUAUCAGCAGGAAAGAAAAUGACGGUACCUGACUAAGAAGCCCCGGCUAACUACGUGCCAGCAGCCGCGGUAAUACGUAGGGGGCAAGCGUUAUCCGGAUUUACUGGGUGUAAAGGGAGCGUAGACGGCAGUGCAAGUCCGGAGUGAAAGCCCGGGGCUCAACCCUGGGACUGCUCUGGAAACUGUAAAGCUGGAGUGCGGGAGGGGCAGGCGGAAUUCCUAGUGUAGCGGUGAAAUGCGUAGAUAUUAGGAGGAACACCAGUGGCGAAGGCGGCCUGCUGGGCUUUUACUGACGCUGAGGCUCGAAAGUGUGGGGAGCAAACAGGAUUAGAUACCCCGGUAGG
rnacentral:rRNA from 1 species